rnacentral:rRNA from 1 species
GUAGGGAAUCUUCGGCAAUGGGGCAACCCUGACCGAGCAACGCCGCGUGAGUGAAGAAGGUUUUCGGAUCGUAAAGCUCUGUUGUAAGUCAAGAACGGGUGUGAGAGUGGAAAGUUCACACUGUGACGGUAGCUUACCAGAAAGGGACGGCUAACUACGUGCCAGCAGCCGCGGUAAUACGUAGGUCCCGAGCGUUGUCCGGAUUUAUUGGGCGUAAAGCGAGCGCAGGCGGUUUGAUAAGUCUGAAGUUAAGG